rnacentral:lncRNA from 1 species
GCCAGAAUAUGGUAAGGGGCCAGAGAAAUUGGCUAUUUAAAGCUAAGUUCCCCUUUGUAUUUAUCUACCAUAAGAACUUUCUACAAGAUCAAAUAAGGGAGCCCACAUUGACUAAUUUAUGUACAACUUUGAUGAGACUGUAGAGGUGAAUUAUUUGGGCAAAUAGCCAUUUAGAUAUUUCAGUAAACAUAUAAUUGCAAAAAUAGAAAUAGUAUAUGCACACACACACACACACACAUAUAUAUACACAUCUACACAUAAAUACACACAUAUGUAUAUAUGCAUUAUAUACAUCAUAUACACAUAUGCAUAUACAAUGGUCAGCUUAUUUGAAAUGUAGCAGAUGUAAUGGACUAUGUAAUGUUAUGGGAGAGUCUUGGCUAAUCAGCUGAAGCUCUCAGCAGCAAUGAAUAAGGUUUUAUGUAAGGGGAUUCUGCUUUCAGAAAGUGACAUAGAAAUCCUGCCCGAGUUUCCAUCCCUCAGACUGCAGCUACAGUAUCAGCUCUUACUUGAAUCUCCAGCCUGCCCCUGGCCAUAGAUUUUGAACUAAACAGCUUCCACACAGAUAUGAGCCAGUUGCUUAAAAUCCAUUACGUCCCCCCGCCUCUCCUCUGUGUGUGUGUGUGUAUGUAUGUAUGUAUGUAUAGAUGUGUAAACAUAUAUACAUGGAUGUUCCCACUUGAACCACUGAGAUAGUCUAGAGACUGUGAAAGCUUUCUCUCAGGACUCCUCAUAUGCACAAAUCACCCAUGCUGGAAUUAUACUUGGAGGCAGUGUAAAGCACUGAGUCAGGAAGAAAGAUGAGGUUAGAGAAUGAGGCCAAACUCUGCACUGACAAGCUGCACCUCUGGAACUGUGGCCCCAGAGGACAAUUCAGUCUCAUCUCUGUGGCUGGUUCUUCCAUGUAGACUCCCAGCUGAGGUGAUGGACUGCCUGAGGUGCUGUGUUGUUUUUUGAAAUACAGUAUCUAUGAAUUAUCCUGUAGAGACAACUAACCCACUAUCCAACAGCUCACCCAGCCAGCCAGCCACCUACUCAUCUCUCCUCUAAUAAACAUCUAGGACCCACAUCUACCAGCUCCUGUCCUGAGUGAUGCCAGGGGAAGGCACUCGGAUGCACACACUUGAGGUCUGUGGUCAGGGUAGAAUCCUAGCUACAAGAACUGUAAGGGGAAAUCCCAAGCCUUUCUUUGGACAGCUUCAGCUUAUAAUUGUACCUCUUCAGUCUGACCUUUUCCCUGGGGCAUAUGGUCUGCACUUUUGUGGCUGGCCAUGGUUUCCAUCCUUAGCUAUAUGCCGUCUUACUCCAUCCUGGAUUUCAGGGCCUUGGAAUUUAGCACCCUUUGAUGAUUUAUUUUCCUCCUCCCUGUUCAUCCCAGAAUCCUAUCUGUCAGAGAAGACAGACACUUAUUCAUCUCCCCCGACCCCAGGCUUAGACAAUCUAAUCAUGACUUUAUUUCUCCAAGGAUUCCUUCUUCAGGAAUCCUCAACUUCAGUCAUCACGAGGUCUGUCUAUAUCCCGGAAGCUCGCACAGAGUUUUGAGAUACAAACAUCUUGACAGAUACACCUGUAAUCCUCAAUCCUUACUGUUACCACUAUUCCUCACCAUGUUCUAGGACCUAGCCACAUGCCACCUUGUCUACCAAAACCUGAAGGUUGUAGCACAAACCAAACUUUUUAUUUUUGUAUUUUCUUUUUUAAUAUGAUUGCCCAUCUCCCCUUUGUUAAAGAGAUUGAGAUUAACAUUAACAUGCAAAUGGAAAACAAAAUAGUUUAAUAGGUGUCAUCAACUUGGUCAGCUGCCAGUCUGCACCAGGGACUAGGUCAGGAUUAGGACAUACUUCCUGGUAGAAAGGUGUGUAACAUGGGUGCUGAGUGUUUACGAGAGGUCAGCAGGUGCUGUGGGGUGGGGAAGAAUCUUUCAGACACAGGGAAUAUCAAAUAUUGUGUAGGACAUUUAAUUGUACAAAAAUCAGGGCAAUGGUCCAGCAUGCUGAAUAUGAUGGAGAGAAUAGCAUAAAAAGGUCAGAAGGUUAAGCUAGACCUGUUUCUCAUCCUGUAGUAUUUCCAGUCCCUACAAACAAGUACCCAGAUGGCCACCUCUUCCUCAAAGAACAGGGACUUCCUUUCUGUUUGAAACCUUUAGGUUCCCAGGCAGGUGGGUCAUGUAUGCUGGAAAUGCUCCAAACUACUUCCCCUUUUGACUGGCCUCAAAUAAUAAGCCAGCUCCUGGAAAUUUGCAUUGCAAAAUCUGACAGAUAGUCAUCCUUCCCGCUCUGCAAACACGUACACGGGAGGAUCUGACGACCAACGCCGGUAGUGUGCUUCAUGGUGGUUGCCCCUUCUGGCCUCUGUUUUCUCUGUCCACUUUUCCUCUAUUUUACUAGUUUUAAAUUACUUUUUAAGAAAUUAUAUUUGACUCGUGUUUGAAAAAGUUCUGUAGAUAAGCGAUCCUGGGUUUGAUUUCUAGUACUCCCCAUGAGACAGUCCUCUGCAAGUGAGAGUAAUGUUUGUGGUAGAGGCUAUAAUAGGACAUUGUAAUGCCAUAUACCGAGGUCUCAUGCACCAGGUGAUUUGUCCUGCUUUUGACUAGGAGUGUUAUCUUUUAUCAACCUAAAUCAUUUGGCUUUUUGUAUGUUUUUUAAUUUGGAAAAGGAAAGAAAACUCAGCAAUAUUGUUUGUGAUGUUGCUGCAGAAUUCCCUGUUGGCUGAGGGUUCCAGAAAGCUGUGUGUCCAGCAUACAAUAUCCUUUGUUUCUAAGCAUCUGCAUCCGUCCUCCAAGCAGGCUAUCAGUGAGGCAAUCAUGUCCCACACUCAUAUGCAGCCUGGGAAUUGAAGGACAAUUUGGCUCCUUUGUCAUUUUCAAAAAUCAAAUAUGCCCAGGGACUGAGUUCCAGCACCAGCUGUUUUUGCUUUAUGUUUUAUUUAAAAUCAUUUAAUUUUGAAUCUCUUAUGCUUCCAAUGCUUUUUUUCCUCUUAUUAGAGCAAUUUGUACAUAUAUAUAAAGUAUCCCCAAUUUAUACAAAGUGGUCAUUCAUUAAUUAUUAGUGAAUAUUAUUGGAUUAUUUUUAACUUUUCAUCUUAUUUUUGACAGUGUUUGAUAUGUUAAAAUGACCAGUAAUUGUUAUAAUACUUUUUAUUGAAAAAUAAUAGCAACUAUACAAUGAAUACUAUAUAUCAAUUUAUCAUUUUGUGACAAGCUUUUGUUAGCAUGGUUUAUAUAUAUUUUAUCACCGACUUUACUAAAUUCUUAUGAAGCAGCUAUGGAACCUAAUAUCUCUUUAGAGAUAGUCAGAGGGGACUCAUUAAGUAAGUGACAUGCCCAAGGGUUUAUGACCAAUGAACUUCUAAGCUCAAAUUUUAGCCAGGUAUGUUUGACUCCUCAUAACAAAGACUUAAUGCCAUCUGUCUUAUGUUACAAGCAUAGGUGGUCCCCAACUUUUGAUGUUUUGAAUGCUGUUAAUCAAAAGGGGGUCAGGUUGUGUCAAUGAGGUAGGAAAUUCUGUUCAUUGAAUUUUCCUGUUAAAAUGAGGAUUACCUGGUGUGACUAACUAAAGCCUUAACUGCCUAUUCUCAAUAUUAGAUAGACAGAUGGUCCUCUUUUAUGAGAGCUCAGUUUUAUGAUGGUGAAAAACUGGUACACAUCCAGUCGAACCCGUAUGGUGAAUCACCCAUCUUGAUAAUCCCCAGGCUUGCACUGUGCAACAACUCUUCUCUACUUUCAGCAUAACAUUCAGUAAUUUGCAUGAGAUAUUCACAAUGCGUUUCUAUUUAAAAGAGAGUCUUUUGUGUUAGCCGAUUUUUUGAAGAUUGUUCUAAGUAUUCUGGUUGUGAUUAAAAAAGACCAACCUUAGCUCUGAUAUUGGGAAGAUUAAGGGUAGUUAAUGAAUUUUUAUGUGUGUAGUACUAAUUUCUGGCAUCCCAGUCACCUGUUCCUCACUCAUCUAUAUCUAUAAGCCCUGAAAUAUAUUUUUUAAUUGCAUUUUGAACUUAGGAUGCAUUUAUAUAAGCAUAAACCCUUCAUCCAUUGGGGAGCAACUAACUGUUUUUGUAUAUAAACUUACUAGCUGUAAGCUGUUUCUGUCUGUCUGUCUGUCUUUCUGUGUGUGUGUGUGUGUGUGUGUGUGUGUGUGUUUUACUCAUUUCUUCCAUCUCUAAGGCUUUUUGCUCCAUCUGCUGAUUGACUUUCUGUCGUUUGUGGAAUGUGAUCUGGAAGCAAGUGCCAUUGCAUCUCCUCUGUUAAAUGAACUUGAGAGCUCUUAGGCCAUCUGUGGGCUGAGCACCAGAUACUGGUACCAGAUGACUUGGGUGUCUUGCUCUCUUUACUGACCGCAUUUCCUUGGGAAAGUAUUCUCCGAGCUUCUCUGAGUCUGUUUCCCCCUCUCAGCUAGUUGAUUCUAAAGGGUUGGAGGCCUACUUGUCUGCAAAGGUGACUAUGGGGAUUGAAGUUAGGUAGGAGGCAGGUGUUACCAGCAGGUUAUAGGACAGGUACUUCCC